AUGGGCGUCAUUGAAGUUGAACCACCGGUGGACACUCCUGUCCACGGCGCCGAAGGCUUCUCCCGUCCACAACACCGGUCGACGCCCCGUUGUAGCACCGGUGUUGAAGCUUCGCGGCAGUUGUCGUUGGACAGUCAUCGCAGCCCCGCCUGCUUGUGGAAGCGCUGGCGGCUUGAGGUGGAAGGAGGGGGAGAGGUGGGGAGCCCCAAUGGUGAGGGAGGCGGAGGAAGGAGAGGGAGAGGUGGGCAGCACCGAUGGGGAGGGGAGCUGGAAGAAGGAGAAGGAGUGGUGGGUAGCAGCGGUGGAGAAUUGUGGCCAAGAACGCUCUAG
rnacentral:rRNA from 1 species